rnacentral:rRNA from 1 species
UGAGGGAAAGGCGAAAAGAACCCCGGCGAGGGGAGUGAAAAAGAACCUGAAACCGUGUACGUACAAGCAGUGGGAGCCUCUUUAUGGGGUGACUGCGUACCUUUUGUAUAAUGGGUCAGCGACUUAUAUUCUGUAGCAAGGUUAACCGAAUAGGGGAGCCGAAGGGAAACCGAGUCUUAACUGGGCGUUAAGUUGCAGGGUAUAGACCCGAAACCCGGUGAUCUAGCCAUGGGCAGGUUGAAGGUUGGGUAACACUAACUGGAGGACCGAACCGACUAAUGUUGAAAAAUUAGCGGAUGACUUGUGGCUGGGGGUGAAAGGCCAAUCAAACCGGGAGAUAGCUGGUUCUCCCCGAAAGCUAUUUAGGUAGCGCCUCGUGAAUUCAUCUCCGGGGGUAGAGCACUGUUUCGGCAAGGGGGUCAUCCCGACUUACCAACCCGAUGCAAACUGCGAAUACCGGAGAAUGUUAUCACGGGAGACACACGGCGGGUGCUAACGUCCGUCGUGAAGAGGGAAACAACCCAGACCGCCAGCUAAGGUCCCAAAGUCAUGGUUAAGUGGGAAACGAUGUGGGAAGGCCCAGACAGCCAGGAUGUUGGCUUAGAAGCAGCCAUCAUUUAAAGAAAGCGUAAUAGCUCACUGGUCGAGUCGGCCUGCGCGGAAGAUGUAACGGGGCUAAACCAUGCACCGAAGCUGCGGCAGCGACACUAUGUGUUGUUGGGUAGGGGAGCGUUCUGUAAGCCUGUGAAGGUGGCCUGUGAGGGUUGCUGGAGGUAUCAGAAGUGCGAAUGCUGACAUAAGUAACGAUAAAGCGGGUGAAAAGCCCGCUCGCCGGAAGACCAAGGGUUCCUGUCCAACGUUAAUCGGGGCAGGGUGAGUCGACCCCUAAGGCGAGGCCGAAAGGCGUAGUCGAUGGGAAACAGGUUAAUAUUCCUGUACUUGGUGUUACUGCGAAGGGGGGACGGAGAAGGCUAUGUUGGCCGGGCGACGGUUGUCCCGGUUUAAGCGUGUAGGCUGGUUUUCCAGGCAAAUCCGGAAAACCAAGGCUGAGGCGUGAUGACGAGGCACUACGGUGCUGAAGCGACAAAUGCCCUGCUUCCAGGAAAAGCCUCUAAGCAUCAGGUAACAUCAAAUCGUACCCCAAACCGACACAGGUGGUCAGGUAGAGAAUACCAAGGCGCUUGAGAGAACUCGGGUGAAGGAACUAGGCAAAAUGGUGCCGUAACUUCGGGAGAAGGCACGCUGAUAUGUAGGUGAAGCGACUUGCUCGUGGAGCUGAAAUCAGUCGAAGAUACCAGCUGGCUGCAACUGUUUAUUAAAAACACAGCACUGUGCAAACACGAAAGUGGACGUAUACGGUGUGACGCCUGCCCGGUGCCGGAAGGUUAAUUGAUGGGGUUAGCGGUAACGCGAAGCUCUUGAUCGAAGCCCCGGUAAACGGCGGCCGUAACUAUAACGGUCCUAAGGUAGCGAAAUUCCUUGUCGGGUAAGUUCCGACCUGCACGAAUGGCGUAAUGAUGGCCAGGCUGUCUCCACCCGAGACUCAGUGAAAUUGAACUCGCUGUGAAGAUGCAGUGUACCCGCGGCAAGACGGAAAGACCCCGUGAACCUUUACUAUAGCUUGACACUGAACAUUGAGCCUUGAUGUGUAGGAUAGGUGGGAGGCUUUGAAGUGUGGACGCCAGUCUGCAUGGAGCCGACCUUGAAAUACCACCCUUUAAUGUUUGAUGUUCUAACGUUGGCCCGUAAUCCGGGUUGCGGACAGUGUCUGGUGGGUAGUUUGACUGGGGCGGUCUCCUCCUAAAGAGUAACGGAGGAGCACGAAGGUUGGCUAAUCCUGGUCGGACAUCAGGAGGUUAGUGCAAUGGCAUAAGCCAGCUUGACUGCGAGCGUGACGGCGCGAGCAGGUGCGAAAGCAGGUCAUAGUGAUCCGGUGGUUCUGAAUGGAAGGGCCAUCGCUCAACGGAUAAAAGGUACUCCGGGGAUAACAGGCUGAUACCGCCCAAGAGUUCAUAUCGACGGCGGUGUUUGGCACCUCGAUGUCGGCUCAUCACAUCCUGGGGCUGAAGUAGGUCCCAAGGGUAUGGCUGUUCGCCAUUUAAAGUGGUACGCGAGCUGGGUUUAGAACGUCGUGAGACAGUUCGGUCCCUAUCUGCCGUGGGCGCUGGAGAACUGAGGGGGGCUGCUCCUAGUACGAGAGGACCGGAGUGGACGCAUCACUGGUGUUCGGGUUGUCAUGCCAAUGGCACUGCCCGGUAGCUAAAUGCGGAAGAGAUAAGUGCUGAAAGCAUCUAAGCACGAAACUUGC